rnacentral:rRNA from 1 species
UACGGAGGGGGCUAGCGUUGUCCGACGUUACUGGGCGUAAAGCGCGCGUAGGCGGGUUGGUAAGUCCGCUGUGAAAGCCCGGAGCUUAACUCCGGAGGGUCGGUGGAUACUGCCAGUCUUGAAGGUGCUAGGGGGAGAUGGAAUUACCGGUGUAGCGGUGAAAUGCGUAGAUAUCGGUAGGAACACCAGUGGCGAAGGCGGUCUCCUGGGGCAUUCUUGACGCUGAGGCGCGAAAGCUGGGGGAGCAAACGGG